AGAAUCAACGCUGGCGGCGUGCCUAACACAUGCAAGUCGAACGAGAAAGUGGAGCAAUCCAUGAGUAAAGUGGCGCACGGGUGAGUAACACGUGACUAACCUACCCUUGAGUGGGGGAUAACCUAGAGAAAUCUGGGCUAAUACCGCAUAAUACCUUCGGGUCAAAGGAGCAAUUCGCUUAAGGAGGGGUCGCGGCCGAUUAGUUAGUUGGCGGGGUAAUGGCCCACCAAGACUAUGAUCGGUAUCCGGCCUGAGAGGGCGCACGGACACACUGGAACUGAAACACGGUCCAGACUCCUACGGGAGGCAGCAGUGGGGAAUUUUGCGCAAUGGGGGAAACCCUGACGCAGCAACGCCGCGUGGAGGAUGAAGUCCCUUGGGACGUAAACUCCUUUCGAUCGGGACGAUAAUGACGGUACCGAGAGAAGAAGCCCCGGCUAACUUCGUGCCAGCGCCGC
rnacentral:rRNA from 1 species